CCGCAUUACACAAAUAUGUCGCGCGCGAAUCGCUCCGCGGCGGCCCCCCUCAGUGAGGCCUAUGAAGCCCUUUCGCGCUUGUUUUAGAUCUUCGCCGCUUACGUAACCUGACGUAACGGAGCGUCGUUGAUAUGGACGACGAGAGUACCAUCCGCUGGUUUCCAUGGGAGUGAUUGGGGUUUUCUGGGGCAUGGUUGUUACGACCAGCGGAGGAUGGAGUUGCUGGAACACCUGAGGAGACAGCGCCUUGCAGGUAGAGACCUGUGGACUCCUUCCAUUCCAAAUUUUCUGGAGAAGUGUCUGCACAGGGUGAGAGGCAUGGUUCUACGUUUGUCAAGGCAAUAAUUGAAUCACGUGAUUAAACUCCAAGUUUUCUGCACUUUUGGCCCAUCGGAUGACCAGGUCUGUUUGUCUUUUGAAUCGGUUCUUGUUCCAAAAUGUUUUCUCUCCUUUUCCUCUGUUCUUUCUGCAGGUGACGCUGGAUUGGGGUUGGUCACGUGGCACCAAAAGUCACAGGCUGACGUUUACCGAGGUGGCGUUGCUUCUGCAGGAGGUCACCACCCUCUAUUGCUACAGGGUCGAUGACCUGCACUUGCUGACAAGGCGCUUCUUGAGUCGGCAUUUUGAUGGGUCUCACUCUGAUGAUCUUCAGCUUCAUGGCAUCCAAUACUUAGACAACAACGCUACGUUGACAAAUCCUCGGGAUGGUGAUCGGCAGACUUCAAAGAAUGGCACGACCAGAAUUGAUCAUCACAAGUUAACAAUCUCUGCGUGUAGAAGACCUACGAGUGAAGAGGAUGAGAUGCAACCCCUGGAUGACCUCACCUCAUCUGCAGACCUCAUAUUACCACCAAACCAACUCCAAUGCAGGGAAAUGUUACCCAUAACGCCCUUAGUGCUGCUGGGGAUUGACCCAGGAAGAUUUGCUGGACUCAAAGCAUUUUGGGUAAACAGUAGCUGCACAGUUGCCUCGGGCUGCCUGUUCCUCGGUGCGAUUCCCACCGACCCACCUUUUUGGAUACCAACAGUUCCCACAAGCCUCUGCUCGUCUCCGACGCCUUCGCCGUCAUCAUCCACAAGCCCUUGUGUGUCGUUUCCAUCAUCCUCCACAUCCACGCCCCUGAGUAUGAAGUCGUCCACGACGACUGAUACGACGGACAUGAAUUGCUCGGAUGAGAUUGAAGAUUUGGGCUUAUGCACGGAGGAAGAAGAUGCUGAAGACGCAGAGCCUCAUGAUACCACUUCAGUGCUUCCUAUGGAAACUUCCUAUUCAUACCACAUAGAGUUUGAGUCUUUUGAUCAUCUGACGCCCUGUCCUUUCGUUGAUAUGCCAAGCUUUGAUGAACAGGUGAGCAAUCGGAGUCGACACAGAUUUACCUGUGGUGUCCGGUUCAGAGUGCGAUGUUUGCUUUUGAAGAAGGCAGUGACUUGA
rnacentral:lncRNA from 1 species